ensembl:lncRNA
AUGCAUGUGAAUGGGUGGCCCUCACAAAGCCUCAAGGAUGAAAUCCUGGGAACAGUAGAUAACGAUGGGCAGAGGAGAAGACCGAGAAGGAAGUAUUACAGAACCCAGAAAAUCAGGAGAGGAGAGUCACCGGGCCAAGUAUGGGGCACAUUUCAAGAUGUCCAGACAGCGAGGAUGUCCAGUGAAAUACUAUAUUUGAAACGCUUUGUAAAUGGAAAAACUCUAUCUUGUCCUUGUUCGUGGCAAGUGAGGAUACUUCGAAGAGGCUGAAUCGAUGUCAUCAUGUUUGAAGUCUGAAGGACAGACUAAAUGUUAUAAAAGGGAAAAGCAGGAUGAAGAUUGAUCUACGGAUCCAGUAAGAAGGGUUGGUAAUUUAAAAAAUUCUCUGUUAACUUCAGGUUGUAAGUAGUAAAAGGCAGUGCUUCGAUUUGAAUAUUCUGGUGCCCUGUUAAUUGUUUUAAGAAGCAAAAGCAUGUUCAUUAACAUAUCAGCUCAGACCCCAUGUUUGGUCUGUGGUAGGUAAGGGUUGUGCCUCUCAAAUGGCCUGGCUGCCCUGUGUUACCUAAUCUCAAAAGAUUAGGAAUAUAGCUGAAAUGCUCCCUAACAGCUCACUUUUAUUAUGUUUGUUUAUAUACUUGGCCUGCGUUGUUAGCUUGAAUGUAAACUCUUAGAGGACAGAGAUCGAGUUUCAUUUAUUUUAUAUUCCCUACUUUUAACACAGUGAUUUGUCUGCAGAGGGCACACAAUACCUAUUUGUGGAAUAUCAAACACACACACACACACACACACACACACACACACACACUCUCUCUUUUUUGAAAUGCAAAGCUCCAAUGACCAUAUUUUCUAAAAUUAAAAAAAAAAUCACGAUAAAUGGUUUGAAAAGGUGGGGUACACUUCUGAGGACUAUAUGGCCAAAAUACUUGAAAUGUUAUCCCAGAAAAUAUCAGGUGAUAGAAUCUCUUUAAUUAUGGUAUCCAGCCUAGGGGUUCUUAGUCUGCUGUCAGUGGACUUAAAGGAGUCUCCAGGUGAAAGUGCAUGACCCUUCAAUUUGGAUGGAAAAAAAUAACAUUUUUUAAAGAUUUUAUUUAUUUAUUUGGGAGAGAGAGAGAGCGCGAGCGCUCACGAGCAAGAGCGGGGGAAGGGGCAGAGGGAGAGGGAAGAGACUGAGGCAAGGCUCCAUUCCAGGACCCCAAGAUCCUGACUUGAGCUGAAGUCAGAGGCUUAACUGACUUAGCCAUCCAGUAGUGCCCCCCCCAAUCUUUAUUUUCACGAAUGUCUAGCUGAAACUAAGCAUUUUCCCCCAUUGUGAAUGCAGGCAACAAACCACAGUAGAAUUAGCAGCACCUUUCACCCUCUCACCAAAAGAAAUCAAAGGCAUUUUUGUAUCACAUUAUAGUUAUCAUGGACUUUUUGAAUAUAUUCUCAUCAUCGCUUUAAAAUUUCAGUAGUUAUUUGACCUGCUGCAAGAUCUUGAUAUUUAAUGUCUUAAAAAAGAAAAACAGAUUUACAUCACAAAUUUGUUCUUAAAAUAUAUUUCCUAGGGCUCAUGGGUGGCUCAGUCAGUUAAGCAUCUGCCUUUGGCUCAGGUCAUGAUCCCAGGCUCCCUGCCCCGCAGGGAGUCUGCUUCUCCCUCUACCCCUCUUCCCAUUUAUUCUCUCAAUCUCUCUCUCAAAUAAAUAAAAUCUUUAUAUAUAUAUAUUUUUUUUU